AACAAAACCCUACCUCCCACGCUCCCUUCUGACCCUCCACACUCCCUUCGCACUCUCCCAGAUGUAGCUCCACCACGAACCGCCACAGGAAAUCCUGACCUCCGCGCCUCAAGUCCUCAAUCUCCUUCGCCGACGAUGAGCUGAGAGCACAGCAGAUUCGACGACGGCGACGAGCUUCAGACGCGGCGGCGGUUUGACAGCCUCAUUCUCCCAUCUCUUCACCAGUUCCUCCUUCUCUGUCCUCCCAUCCCCUCGCUUCCGUCUCUGAGUGAAGACCUCUUCCGGGCGACUACUCGACGACGACUACUAGGGGGAAACAACAGAUCUGGCGACGACGAGCUUCAGACGCUGCAGUUUCUGAUCUAAAGGGGAGUGUUGCCAUCUUGUUCUAUUUAAAUCAUUCAGAAGGUAAAUUUUUUUUUUCUUUCGGACAUUGUAUUAUUUUUGAAAUCAUAUUAUGUCUUGUACUUGCAACUGGUUUUUGCUGCAAUUCAAUUGUUUAUAUUUCCAGCUUAUGCUAGUGGUUUAAGUCUUUCCUUCUAAGGUUGCUAGCAGAUGUUUCUCUUCUUUGGCCAAGUAAAUGUUUGUUUUGAUUUCAAUGCUUUUAAUUUUUACUUUUCUCUUUUAUCUUCUUUGAACUCCUUUAUCUAUUAGUUUCUUAUUGUUGAUAUGUUGUAUGCUGUUAUUACAAAGUUGCCUUUCUUGAUUUGUUUCUAACUGAGCUUAGUGUUGUAGUAGAGAAUUCCAGUCCUGAAUGCAACUUAUGUUGUGCAUUUUUUCCCUUCAAUUUACACAGGCUGUGAAUUUCAUUGAGUAUGAUUCUUUGUUUCCUGAUGAAGAGAAGCAAGAAUUAUGGUGUUGAAAUUGUUGAAGCCAAGGAUGGAACUAUUUCAGUUGCCACCGCAUUUGCAGGCCACCAGGAAGACACCUUAAAUGGUCUAACCUCUAUUAUAUCUGCUACUUGCAUAUGACUAACCAGAAUGCUAUCACAAGGAGAUUGACUGCACACUUCCUCCUUUGGUCCAAUGUUGGUGGCAGUAUGCAUAGAUAAUAGUUUGCAGACAUGUAAUAGUUUGGAGAUUAAAUAAGAAGUUAAAUUCUAGAAUGUUUUAAAUGUUCAAUUGUAUAUUCAUGAAUAAUUCUCUUCAUGAAAUGUGUAUAUGUCUUUCAACAAUUA